AACGAACGCUGGCGGCAUGCCUAACACAUGCAAGUCGAACGAGACCUUCGGGUCUAGUGGCGCACGGGUGCGUAACGCGUGGGAAUCUGCCCUUGGGUUCGGAAUAACAGCGAGAAAUUGCUGCUAAUACCGGAUGAUGACGUAAGUCCAAAGAUUUAUCGCCCAAGGAUGAGCCCGCGUAGGAUUAGCUAGUUGGUGAGGUAAAGGCUCACCAAGGCGACGAUCCUUAGCUGGUCUGAGAGGGAUGAUCAGCCACACGUGGGACUGAGACACCGGCCAGACUCCGUACGGGAGGCAGCAGGUGGGGAA
rnacentral:rRNA from 1 species